rnacentral:tRNA from 1 species
CGCGGAGUAGAGCAGCUUGGUAGUUCGUAAGGCUCAUAACCUUGAAGUCACGGGUUCAAAUCCCGUCUCCGUGU